GUUUGAUAAACAAUGUUUAUGGGACAAAACUCAUAAGUUCCACAGCAACAGAAAUGUUACAGAUAAGUGUUGGAAAGAGAUCAGUUUGGAAAUGAAACAGGAUGAAAGUAAAAUAAGAAAAAGAUGGAGAUAUCUAAGGGAUCAAUUUGCGGUAGAGUUAGGAAAAAUUUCACCUUCUCGCUCUGGAGAUGAGGCAACUACAGUAUAUCCCAAAUGGCCAUAUUUUAAACCCUUACUUUUUCUCAAACCUAUGGUGAAGGCGCGGCUAACCACUGGAAGUUUGACGCGACAAAGAUCUCAUUCAAAUAGUGCUGUGAGCCUUGAUAGUGAAACAGAAUACACCCAAACUACAAAUGACCAUGAUUGUUCUCUUUCACCUGGACCAAGCAACAUGGAAGAUAAUGAUGCGAGUGACCAACCAACAGUGUCUCCUGCGAUGCCUGUUUCAAAAAUCGCUUUGAAAAGGCCGAAGAGAACAAUCAAUGACAAAUUAUUGGACAUUGAGCAUCAAAAACUUAAAUUUUUACAAGAUAAGGAAAAAUCCCGACAGAAUAGAACAACAGAUGCAGACAACGAACAUAUUUUAUUUUUUAAAAGCCUAAUACCACACAUUGAAAAAAUUCCACAGCACAUGCUACUUUCUUUUAGAAACCGCAUUCAAAGCGUCGUCGACGAGUUCGCGUACCAAUCUUUGCAAUAUGGUAACCCUAGUUCGAUGUCAAACUACUCUCAUUUAAGUAAUGUUUCCCGUAAUAGUACUCCAGAGACCUGCAACGAAAUAACUCUUCCACAAACUUCGAGUGACAAUAUUGCUGUUAUAAGCAACCAAUUAGCCACAGAAGAAUAUAUUUUUCAUUGUGAUUAAAACUACUUACAAAUAAAACAUACUAGCCUACUGAAUGAAUAAAGGUCAA